rnacentral:rRNA from 2 species
UACGAAGGGGGCUAGCGUUGCUCGGAAUGACUGGGCGUAAAGGGCGCGUAGGCGGAUGACAUAGUCGGGCGUGAAAUUCCUGGGCUCAACCUGGGGACUGCGUUCGAGACGUGUUGUCUUGAGUUCGGAAGAGGGUCGUGGAAUUCCCAGUGUAGAGGUGAAAUUCGUAGAUAUUGGGAAGAACACCGGUGGCGAAGGCGGCGACCUGGUCCGAUACUGACGCUGAGGCGCGAAAGCGUGGGGAGCAAACAGG